rnacentral:rRNA from 1 species
AGGAUGAACGCUAGCGGCAGGCCUAAUACAUGCAAGUCGAACGGUAAGUAUGAUAGCAAUAUUGUACCAAGAGUGACGUACGGGUGCGUAACACGUAUGCAACCUACCCUUUACAGAUGGAUAGCUCGGGGAAACUCGAAUUAACCCGUCAUAAUAUAAUUUAGUGGCAUCAUUGAAUUAUUAAAUCUGAGGAGGUAAAGGAUGGGCAUGCGUCUGAUUAGUAGUUGGCGGGGUAAUGGCCCACCAAGACGAUGAUCAGUAGGGGAACUGAGAGGUUGACUCCCCCACACUGGCUACGUGAACGAUACGGGCCAGACCUCCGUACGGGAGCAGCAGGUAGGAUAGUUGGUACAAGUGGAUGGAAGUCGUAGAACC